GAUGAAGAACGUAGCGAAAUGCGAUAAGUAAUGUGAAUUGCAGAAUUCAGUGAAUCAUCGAAUCUUUGAACGCACCUUGCGCCCCUUGGUAUUCCGAGGAGCAUGCCUGUUUGAGUGUCAUGAAACCCUCAAACCCAAGUUUUGGAUUUCGAUCCAUGCUUGAGUUUGGAUUUGGAUGUUUGCCGGUGAUGAACCGACUCAUCUUAAAAGUAUUAGCUUGGAUCUGUCUAUAUGACUGGUUUGACUUGGCAUAAUAAGUAUUUUGCUGAGGACAUCUUCGGAUGGCCAGGACCUAGACUACUGUCUGCUAACUAAACCAUCACUUUAAGUGCAUCUUUGGAUGUUACUCAUUGUGUAACUUUGACAUCUGGCCUCAGAUCAAGUAGGACUACCCGCUGAACUUAAGCAUAUCAAUAAGCGGAGGA
rnacentral:misc_RNA from 1 species